ensembl:lncRNA
GGCUGCGAUUGGCUAAGUUCAUGUUUUAUCACCUGUCAGUCACAAAACCAAAAGGGAGGUCAACAAAGAGUGCAGCUUCACUGUGGUAUGUAGUAUAGCAACGAUCCAUUGUUGAACAUUCAUUACAUGUUUCUAUUCAAACGGCUUGUCUGUGUGUCUUGGGUGGUGGACACAGAAAACAAUGAGGGACUGUCUCCAAUUCUUAACUUGUGCAGUCACAUUGCAUCAAUUCCUUUACUUUAGUCAUCCUGCUGAGUUUAUUUUAAGUCCUAGAGUGGAGCAACCAUUAAAGGAAUUGGCUCUGUGUAUGGUCCAUCUUUCGCUCUCUCUCUCUCCUUUCAGGGUUUAACAAAACGUUGCUACAAAGUCGUAUCCUGGAGAUACUGACCGACUCCCUCCAACUUCAAAGCGCUGUGACUAGACCACAGGACAUUUACACCGCAGCCUGUCUGCGUUGGAUGAUCUGUCCCGGCCUCCUUGUGCUGCUCCUCUCUUUUGUUGGUGUUACCAGACUGCACCUUCAUCAAAGGACGGCAAUGGAGCCUUUAUAAUAAUCAUCCUAACCCAGUAGCUCCAUUGUGUUGACUUCCCACGUUUGAGGGUUGAAGUUUUUCUUUAUUCGCCUCCAGGCGAUGAAACCUCGCGGAGGCACACAAUAUGUGGUAGGUUUUCUUUUAUUCACACUCAAAGUGGCUCUUCUUUCACUGCUGCCGGGCAUGUUGUUCCUAUUUUGCCGGUCUGAUCAGUUUUUUGGUUAACCAUUCCCCAAUGCAACAAUGGGUAGAUGGGACAGAGUCUCUGAACCCUGUGCUCUGUCUGUUAAUGGAUGAGUGAGAAACAGGCAGAAGGUACCUCGUGCAGUUUAAGAAGUUACCUUUUUUUUACUGUAAUUCCCAAUACAACGACAUCUCUAUUUCAAUUAUUAAGGACUGUUAUGGACUACUGAUUCAAUUACAAUUAUCCUCCGCCAAAUGGCAAAGCAAUUUGCAAAAAUUGUAUUUAGGAUUUGCACUUUGGAACAAAAACAUAAACAGAAGUGAUACAGGCGCAAAUACCUCACAACGCUUUAGUAGGCUUACAUAUUAUCACACAAAUGUGAAAGAAGUCCAACUGCCACAAAGCUUUUGCUGUAUAAGGUGGAUGCUUUGGACCCCCAUCCUGAUCUGGGGGCCCGGGAAAAUAGUCCCCCAUAACUUGUUGGUAAUCCUGUAGGAUUUAUUAUUUUUCAUAACACUGUAACCCAAAGUUUUACUCAUAAAUAUAUAACAAUGAAGCUAAAAAUUAGUAAGAAAUGAUGAAUGAUCCAUUGGUAAAGCAUUUACCAACUUUUCAGGGUGCUCCAUUAGAGAGUAGUAUCUUUUCAAUUAUACUUUCUCUGAGUAAAGCUCUCUCUCUAAGCAUUCAUUUCAUUUGACAGAAUACAUCCAUAAUGCUUUUUACAUCAUAUGGUUGUGUGGUACAUUUUAAGGACGGAAACCGCCCGCAUGCAGAGGAAUAUUCCAAUGAGUUAUGAGUGACGCUUUGAGCAUGCGCAGGUCGGUUUAUGAAGCAUUCUGAACGAGAAGGCUACUCGGGAUCACCCCGGUUGUCAGUAGCUGGAGUGGACCCAUAACAGAUGUGCAGAGUCCACAGAUGUGCAGAGUUGAGCUGCUUUAGGACACGGUCGGCGUGGA